UCCUUUUACUUAGUUUUAAGCCACUUCAACAAGAGUGCUUUUACUUCUAAUGGAUUGGGGGCUGCGGUUGUCUUUACCAGGCACCCACUAAGGAUGCUCCUCAUAGGGAGUGGACUGCCAGAGAUCCUGGGAAAGAAUAGAAGGGGUGUCUUGGCCCAAGGAAGGGAGAGGAUGAGGCCAUUGCCCCCCUGAAGCCAUCUAAGCAUGGCUCUCUUCCAUACCACCUUGUGCUUUCAUAGUGUCAGAACUUACAAGUAAUUCAAGGUCAUGCCAGGAUAGGUGAACUACAUUUUCAGAGCUGCCAUGUGUCAAAAUGAAUUUCGUGUAAAGCAUAUAUACUUCUGAACAUUUUUUGUGACGCAGCAAUAUUAUCCAGGAGAGACUUUGACAUAUAUGGUACCUUACAGAAAACUUGCCAGCAUAGAAGACUUAAAACAGCACUUACUUGUCACUUAUUUUUCCAUGCCACAUUUACUUAAUCUAAAAGUGUG